rnacentral:lncRNA from 1 species
ACGGGCUCAGAAAGGGGGAUUUUUGGGUCAGCCACCAGCGUGAAGCAGGCUCAGAAACGGGCGUUUUGGGGUCAGCGCGCGGCAAAACGGGGACAGAAAGCAUCAUUUUGGGUGCGUUCAUUUUGAGAGCGUCAUGCUGCCCCAGCACAGAAUGGGCUCAGAAAGCGGCUUUUUGGGGCCGGAGCAAAAAAAAAAACAACAAACAACAAAACGACGAAGAAAAAGGACACAGAAAGCAGCAUUUGGGGUCGGGCUCAUCUCCCCGGCGCGCACCGAGCUGACGAAGCGGGGUUUGGGGCCGGCCGCUGGUACUUACUCCGCUCACUUGGAUUUUUUCCUGCCUCUUUUUUUAAGGGGUUUUGUGCUCUUUUUUGGGUUUUUUGUUUGUUUGUUUGUUUGUUUGCUUUUCUAAUUUUUAGUCAUUUUUAGCAAUGCUCCUCUUUGGGCCAAUUUGAGGCCGUUUUAUGUCGCUGCGGCGCUGCCUCAAUGGAGAGCGGGGAGGGGGGAGAAAAAAAAAAAAAAAAAAAAAAAAAAAAAAAAGUUUUAAAAAUGAACUCCCGGCGAUGGAGGGAGAGACGGAAAUGGGGCCCAACGGAGGAGCAACGAGCGCGGCGCCUCGCCGCCGCCAUUUUGUUCCGCGGCUCCAAGAUGGCCGCCGUCACGUGGUGCCGCCGUCACGUGGUGCCGCCGCCAUUUUGUGAGGCGCGACCCCAAAAUGGCCCCAAUCGGCCCCAAAAUGGCCCAAAUCGGCCUCAAAAUGCCCCAAAUUCCCUACAAGCAGCCCCAAAACAUGCUGAAGCCACCUCAGUCCGCACAAAAGCACCGCAGAUUCGCUCUGGCCUGCUCCCAGAUAGCCCAACGCUGGCCCCAAAUGGCCCCCGAAUUGCCAAAAACCACCACAAUGUGCCCCAUGCCACCACGACCUGCCCCAAAUAACCCCAAACUGCCCCCAAAUUAACCUCGAACUGCCCCAAAAAGACCCAAACAGAACCGAACUGCCCCAAAAGAACCCCAAACCGCCCACAAAUAGCCCAAAACUCCCACAAACAACCCCCAAAACAGCCCGAAACUGCCCUGGAUUAAGCCCGAAUUGCCCCAAAUAGACCCCAAACAGCCCCAAAAUAACCCUAAAAUAACCCUAAAAUACCCCAAACCGCCUUUAAGUUUAUCCCCAACUGCCCCCAAAGAAACCCAGGUCACCCCAAAACAGCCCCAAACCGCUCCGAAACAAACCCCAAACAACCCUAAACUCCUACAAAACAACCCCAAAAUAGCCCUAAACUACCCCGGAAUAACCCCCAAAUUGCCCAAAUCCCCCCAAAAUAGCCCCAAUGCGGGGGAUGGGGGGGGGGGACGGGACAAGAGUGACAUUGGGGCGGUGCUCACUGGUGUCAUUUUGGGGUGAAAAAGGAACAAAUGUAGGCUUUGUGGGGUGGGGCUGUGGGGUGCAAUUCUUACCGGGGCUCCCAGCGCCUCCCCAGCCCUUAUUUGGGGAGGGGGAUG